rnacentral:rRNA from 1 species
GUGUAAGUAUAAAUAAUUCUACUUUGAAACUGCGAAUGGCUCAUUAUAUCAGUUAUAGUUUAUUAGAAAAAAUGUACUACUUGGAUAACCGUAGUAAUUCUAGGGCUAAUACAUGAGUAAAUCCUCGACUUUGAAGAGGUGUGUUUAUUAGUAUGAAAACCAUAUGCUUCGGCAUGAUAGUGAGUAAUAAUAACCUUUCAUAUCGUAUGUUGAAAUAACGAUAGUUCUUUCAAGUUUCUGCCCUAUCAGCUUUCGAUGGUAGUGCAUUGGACUACCAUGGCAGUAACGGGUAACGAAGAAUUUGGGUUCGAUUUCGGAGAGGGAGCCUGAGAGAUGGCUACCACAUCCAAGGAAGGCAGCAGGCGCGUAAAUUACCCAAUCCUGACAUAGGGAGGUAGUGACAAUAAAUCACAAUGCGGGACUUUUAGUUUUGCAAUUGGAUUGAGAACAAUGUAAAAGAGUUAUCGAUAAACAAUUGGAGGGCAAGUCUGGUGCCAGCAGCCGCGGUAAUUCCAGCUCCAAUAGC